UACGGGGGGGGCAAGCGUUGUUCGGAAUUACUGGGCGUAAAGGGCUCGUAGGCGGCCAACUAAGUCAGACGUGAAAUCCCUCAGCUUAACUGGGGAACUGCGUCUGAUACUGGAUGGCUUGGAUUCGGGAGAGGAAUGCGGAAUUCCAGGUGUAGCGGUGAAAUGCGUAGAUAUCUGGAGGAAUACCGGUGGCGAAGGCGGCAUCCUGGACCAUAACUGACGCUGAGGCGCGAAAGCUAGGGGAGCAAACGGG
rnacentral:rRNA from 1 species